rnacentral:rRNA from 1 species
GAUAAACGCUGGCGGCGUGCUUAACACAUGCAAGUCGAACGGAGUGGUUCUCCCGAGGAUUGAUGGUGCUUGCACCUGAUUGACUCAUUUGAAUCACUUAGUGGCGGACGGGUGAGUAACGCGUGGGAAACCUGCCCUGUACUGGGGGGAUAACAGUGAGAAAUCACUGCUAAUACCGCAUAAGCGCACGGAGCCGCAUGGCCCUGUGUGAAAAACUCCGGUGGUACAGGAUGGCUCCGCGUUGGAUUAGCCAGUUGGCGGGGUAACGGCCCACCAAAGCGACGAUCCAUAGCCGGCCUGAGAGGGUGAACGGCCACAUUGGGACUGAGACACGGCCCAGACUCC